GUGGACCGCAUGCGAUGGUACAACGUGGUUUACCGUAAGCAAAGGGUCAAGUAAUGAGGGUGUUUACAACUUAGCGCCUAAAGAACUUAGAGGGAGAAGUUGCUUCACUUGCUCAGAAUUUCCAAGAAUAAAAGAAGAAUAAGGAUUGCAACAUAAAUUCUAAUAAGAAUCAUUGAUUAUUUCAUUUCAUUUCUAAACGCUUAAACAACAAGAUAUCAUUUUGACAUAAUAAAUGUAACCUGUACUAGAAUGCACGUUACAGAUAUUUGAAGGAAGCAUUACAUUAAAAAUAUGAGCCCCAAUUUA